rnacentral:rRNA from 1 species
CCUACGGGAGGCAGCAGUCGAGAAUCAUUCACAAUGGGGGAAACCCUGAUGGUGCGACGCCGCGUGGGGGAAUGAAGGUCUUCGGAUUGUAAACCCCUGUCAUGUGGGAGCAAAUUAAAAAGAUAGUACCACAAGAGGAAGAGACGGCCAACUCUGUGCCAGCAGCCGCGGUAAGACAGAGGUCUCAAGCGUUGUUCGGAAUCACUGGGCGUAAAGCGUGCGUAGGCUGUUUCGUAAGGCGUGUGUGAAAGGCGCGGGCUCAACCCGCGGACGGCACAUGAUACUGCGAGACUAGAGUAAUGGAGGGGGAACCGGAAUUCUCGGUGUAGCAGUGAAAUGCGUAGAUAUCGAGAGGAACACUCGUGGCGAAGGCGGGUUCCUGGACAUUAACUGACGCUGAGGCACGAAGGCCAGGGGAGCGAAAGGGAUUAGAUACCCGGGUAGUC